AAAAAUGGUUAAAAAAAUAUAAUAUAAUACAUUGAUUAAAUUAAUUAAAAUAAUAAAUGUAAUUUUUUAAAUUCAGAUAAUUAAAUUAUU
rnacentral:miRNA from 1 species